CCUACGGGGGGCUGCAGUAGGGAAUCUUCCGCAAUGGACGAAAGUCUGACGGAGCAACGCCGCGUGAGCGAAGAAGGUCUUCGGAUCGUAAAGCUCUGUUGUCGGGGAAGAACAAGUACGGCAGGAAAUGGCCGUACCUUGACGGUACCCGACGAGAAAGCCACGGCUAACUACGUGCCAGCAGCCGCGGUAAUACGUAGGUGGCAAGCGUUGUCCGGAAUUAUUGGGCGUAAAGCGCGCGCAGGCGGUCCUUUAGGUCUGAUGUGAAAUCUUGCGGCUCAACCGCAAGCGGUCAUUGGAAACUGGAGGACUGGAGUGCAGAAGAGGAAAGCGGAAUUCCAGGUGUGGCGGUGAAAUGGGUAGAGAUGUGGAGGAACGCCAGUGGCGAAGGCGGCUUUCUGGUCUGUAACUGACGCUGAGGCGCAAAAGCGUGGGGAGCAAACAGGAUUAGAUACCCUUGUGGUC
rnacentral:rRNA from 1 species